ensembl:lncRNA
GCUACAGGCUGAAUGACAGGUCUCUAACAGACCAUAAAGCAGGGGAUGCUUGAGGGUGGGGAUACACGCUGAUUGACAGGUCUCUAACAGACCAUAAAGCAGGGGAUGCUUUAGGGCGUGGCUACAGGCUGAUUGACAGGUCUCUAACAGACCAUAAACCAGGGGAUGCUUUAGGGCGGGGCUACAGGCUGAUUGACAGGUCUCUAACAGACCAUAAACCAGGGGAUGCUUUAGGGCGGGGCUACAGGCUGAUUGACAGGUCUCUGCCGUCGUGUUUCCCGUGGCGAACAGGCUCUGUGGUUAACAGAACUCCAUGUUUUACUUCACAUCAAAGGGAGGCUUGACUGUGAUUGGCCGAUGCAGCUUCCUUCGCCGGGUGACAUUGUGUGGUAGUUAAAGUCUGUCCCCUAAACGCAGUGAGUUUGUCUAUAAGUCUAUAAGACGAGUUCAGUGCAGAACCUUUUACAUCUUUCAGAUGUGUUUCAUAGAUUUUUGUGGCUUUGAAACACCAAACAAUGAAGGAUCAUUGCAGCUCCCCCCUGGAGGGAGCUGCUAUUCAUCUGGGAGGCAGCAUUGAUCAAGUGGCAGAAGGAGACUCUGUUAAACCAGCAGCCAUGGAGAGUCUCUGAAGAGCAUCGUGCUGCUGGUUCGAUUCCAGCGAUCCAUAAAUCUCACAGAGCAACGAUUCUUCUCCUUCUUCCAGUCUGAGGGACAAAGGUGUGAGACGCAAAGCGGCCUCUCAGAGGCGAUCGCUCCCUUCAAGUGAAACCAGAAGAGAUCAGUUGUUCAAAUACUAAUGCAAUUAUUAUUAAUGCAACUAGUAUUUUACACCCAAGUAUAGAUAAAAACACAAGAUACGUUGUAUUCACAGUAGUACAACUUUGAAUAAAUGAAUCAAACUGCUGGCGACCUCCAGCAGAUGUUCAGCUCUUCUUCACUUUUCCUGCUUCACUUUCUCAACUCAGUUUUUUUUAGAGUCGCAGUCCCGAUAUUUUUGCUGUAGAUUUCCAAAUGAUUUUAAAGUAUUUCAUUGACUGUAACAUCUAUAAUAUUUAGUGACAUGUUGUUGGUUUUUGUUGACUUAACCCCGCCUUCCUUUUCUCAGAUGGUCCUGCGUGUAUUUCAUAAACUAGAAGAAGGGAAAUACACUGAAAGCCUGAACCUUUAUUUGACUUUUAGAUUCCCAGGACUCUGUAGAAGAAUGUCUUCACAGAGCGUGCGUCUCUUCAGGUGCUACUAGACGCAGGUGGUGUGUUUGGGAUGCUUUCAGGGUCUAAAGUCUAUUGAAUAUGUUUUUCAUCCUCUACAUUGUGUGAUAAAAGCUAAUACUGUGAACACUGUGUUCCUCCGGGUUUAGUCUUUGUAACUUGUUACUUUGGUAGAAAAGGGUCACUUUAACUGAUUAGGAGUAAAAAGCAGCUUCCUCACACUCGUUUACCCGUAAUGUGUUUGCACAUUAGUUCUGACUCAACGGCUGCAGCCAUGAGAGCCAGAAAUGGAGUUUUCAUUACGGAAAAGCCCUCACUAGUGCGGGAGGCUUUCUACCGGUUCCUCUCACUGCGAUGCUUUAAUGUACCGGCGUCGAGGCCUCGCGGCUCCUGUGACUUAUUACGUGGAAGCGCUUUGAAUGAAACACAAAGAGUGGAAAUAAUUGCGUGUCAGAAUCAAAGGCGCCUUAUCUAAGCAAUUAUGUCGACAUGUUUCGGAGGGUCCAAUUAAAAGUGUCCGAGCGACGAGCCUGAAGCGACGAAGUCAGGAUUCUGCACGAUGACGUUUGUGGAACGAUCAUCAACCAAUCAGGUUGCAGGACGGGUUCAUCUGCGCCUCGACGCUUCAAAAUGUCAGUCGACAAACCGGCGACUUUAUUUCCUUUUUAUUCAGUGUGUGAAAUCAUUUUACAAACCAGUGAACAGGAAGUGAACGUUAUGAACUCAGCAGGACAUCUUGACCUGUCAAUCAGCCUGUAGCCCCGCCCUAAAGCAUCUCUUCUUUAUGGUCUGUUUGACUCUAAAUGGACUUUAAUUUACUAAAUGAACAUCAUGUUGUGUUGAAGAAGACUUGAAACUAGAGACUGAGACCAUAAACUCAGGUUUACAAUGUUUACUGAGGGAAUAAAUCCACAGAGAAGUAGAGUCAUUUCCUCAUAGACGUCUAUGGGAGCAGAGGAGUCGCCCCCUGCUGGUCACUACAGAGAAGUAGAGUCAUUUCCUCAUAGACGUCUAUGGGAGCAGAGGAGUCGCCCCCUGCUGGUCACUACAGAGAAGUAGAGUCAUUUCCUCAUAGAC